rnacentral:rRNA from 1 species
AAUAUCAAAGGUGAGCCAGUACAGGAUGGACCCGCGUCUGAUUAGCUAGUUGGUAAGGUAACGGCUUACCAAGGCGACGAUCAGUAGCCGACCUGAGAGGGUGAUCGGCCACAUUGGAACUGAGACACGGUCCAAACUCCUACGGGAGGCAGCAGUGGGGAAUAUUGCACAAUGGGCGAAAGCCUGAUGCAGCAACGCCGCGUGAGUGAUGAAGGCCUUCGGGUCGUAAAACUCUGUCCUCAAGGAAGAUAAUGACGGUACUUGAGGAGGAAGCCCCGGCUAACUACGUGCCAGCAGCCGCGGUAAUACGUAGGGGGCUAGCGUUAUCCGGAUUUACUGGGCGGAAAGGGUGCGUAGGCGGUCUUUCAAGUCAGGAGUGAAAGGCUACGGCUCAACCGUAGUAAGCUCUUGAAACUGGGAGACUUGAGUGCAGGAGAGGAGAGUGGAAUUCCUAGUGUAGCGGUGAAAUGCGUAGAUAUUAGGAGGAACACCAGUUGCGAAGGCGGCUAUCUGGACUGUAACUGACGCUGAGGC